rnacentral:rRNA from 1 species
AACGCUGGCGGCGUGCCUAAUACAUGCAAGUCGAGCGGACGGACGAGAAGCUUGCUUCUCUGAUGUUAGCGGCGGACGGGUGAGUAACACGUGGAUAACCUACCUAUAAGACUGGGAUAACUUCGGGAAACCGGAGCUAAUACCGGAUAAUAUUUUGAACCGCAUAGUUCAAAAGUGAAAGACGGUCUUGCUGUCACUUAUAGAUGGAUCCGCGCUGCAUUAGCUAGUUGGUAAGGUAACGGCUUACCAAGGCAACGAUGCAUAGCCGACCUGAGAGGGUGAUCGGCCACACUGGAACUGAGACACGGUCCAGACUCCUACGGGAGGCAGCAGUAGGGAAUCUUCCGCAAUGGGCGAAAGCCUGACGGAGCAACGCCGCGUGAGUGAUGAAGGUCUUCGGAUCGUAAAACUCUGUUAUUAGGGAAGAACAUAUGUGUAAGUAACUGUGCACAUCUUGACGGUACCUAAUCAGAAAGCCACGGCUAACUACGUGCCAGCAGCCGCGGUAAUACGUAGGUGGCAAGCGUUAUCCGGAAUUAUUGGGCGUAAAGCGCGCGUAGGCGGUUUUUUAAGUCUGAUGUGAAAGCCCACGGCUCAACCGUGGAGGGUCAUUGGAAACUGGAAAACUUGAGUGCAGAAGAGGAAAGUGGAAUUCCAUGUGUAGCGGUGAAAUGCGCAUAGAUAUGGAGGAACACCAGUGGCGAAGGCGACUUUCUGGUCUGUAACUGACGCU